rnacentral:pre_miRNA from 1 species
GUAUGACUGUGUGGAUGGUGUUCCGCACCAAGGACAGGUAAGUAUCACUGUGUGUGGAUGGUGUUUAGCACCAAGGACAGGUAUGUACAUGU